UCCCUGGUGGUCCAGUGGCUAAGACACUGAGCUCCCAAUGCAGCGGGCCUGGGUUCGAUACCUAGUCAGGGAA
rfam:Ovis aries breed Texel chromosome 4, whole genome shotgun sequence.